rnacentral:rRNA from 1 species
CAGCCGCGGUAAUACAGAGGGUGCGAGCGUUAAUCGGAUUUACUGGGCGUAAAGCGUGCGUAGGCGGCUUCUUAAGUCGGAUGUGAAAUCCCUGAGCUUAACUUAGGAAUUGCAUUCGAUACUGGGAAGCUAGAGUAUGGGAGAGGAUGGUAGAAUUCCAGGUGUAGCGGUGAAAUGCGUAGAGAUCUGGAGGAAUACCGAUGGCGAAGGCAGCCAUCUGGCCUAAUACUGACGCUGAGGUACGAAAGCAUGGGGAGCAAACAGGAUUAGAUACCCCUGUAGUCCCUGUCUCUUAUACACA